AGCCCAUGGCCUUUAUUGUAGCAGCCCAGCUCUACACAAUCAGGCGGCAUUUGUCAUUCCGGCCGCAGCGACGGCGGUGCUAUGGGUUGCGCCGCCGCCAUCUUCAUCCAGUGUUGGUUUCUCGAGCGGCACCAGUAAUUUUAAAUUUUCUUCUGGCAGGGAGAAUACGAGUGAGAUCCUCAAUUGUUUUCGUCGGAGUACGGCAACGAUGACAUCAGCAUGAUGAUGUGGACGAAAACUCGAUACCCUGCAAUUAACUCGCCGUUUCUGUAUUGUUUCAUCCGCAAAAAAGUAGAAAUAACAACGGUAGAUAGGAUUUGGCCGUAGAUCGCUACCUCACAGAAUAUUCCUUGUCGAUUUGCCACUCAAAACUUCCAGAAUCUCUGGACUACAUUUGGCUUUUCUCGCCAUUGUUUUCAUGCCUAUAAAUAGGAGUCGUGUUCACUAUUAUUAAACGAAGAAAUCAAGAACAAAUCGAGUACCUGAUCUUCGCUCCGCGAAUCUGGGAUUUCGAGCAAUAACUGCAGGAAAUUCGAAAUCGUACGUCGAUUUGAACGAGAGAUUGGAAUUGGAGGAUGCUAAAGAGUUGGGGAAAGAUCUGCAGAUUGAUCUGCGUGAAGAUGAAGAAGGAUUCGGAGGCUUUCAAGAUUUUAGGGAGUCAUAUUAUCUAAAAAUAUAAAUACUAGUUUGGUAGAAAUCUUUUGUUGUAAAGAAAAC